UACGUAGGGGGCAAGCGUUGUCCGGAAUUAUUGGGCGUAAAGAGCGCGUAGGCGGUCCGAUAAGUCGGCUGUGAAAGUCAGGGGCUCAACCCUUGAAUGCCGGUGGAUACUGUCGGGCUAGAGUUCGGAAGAGGCAAGUGGAAUUCCUGGUGUAGCGGUGGAAUGCGCAGAUAUCAGGAGGAACACCUAUAGCGAAGGCAGCUUGCUGGGACGACACUGACGCUGAGGCGCGAAAGCGUGGGGAGCGAACAGG
rnacentral:rRNA from 1 species